UAGGGAAUCUUCGGCAAUGGACGAAAGUCUGACCGAGCAACGCCGCGUGAGUGAAGAAGGUUUUCGGAUCGUAAAACUCUGUUGUUAGAGAAGAACAAGGACGUUAGUAACUGAACGUCCCCUGACGGUAUCUAACCAGAAAGCCACGGCUAACUACGUGCCAGCAGCCGCGGUAAUACGUAGGUGGCAAGCGUUGUCCGGAUUUAUUGGGCGUAAAGCGAACGCAGGCGGUUUCUUAAGUCUGAUGUGAAAGCCCCCGGCUCAACCGGGGAGGGUCAUUGGAAACUGAGGGACUUGAGUGCAGAAGAGGAGAGUGGAAUUCCAUGUGUAGCGGUGAAAUGCGUAGAUAUAUGGAGGAACACCAGUGGCGAAGGCGGCUCUCUGGUCUGUAACUGACGCUGGGGCUCGAAAGCGUGGGGAGCAAACAGG
rnacentral:rRNA from 1 species